GUACUUACCUGGCAGGGGAGAUACCUUGAUCACAAAGGUUGUUUUCCCAGGGCAAGGCUUAUCCAUUGCACUCCGGAUGUGCUGACCCCUGCGAUUUCCCCAAAUGCGGGAAACUUGACUGCAUAAUUUGUGGUAGUGGGGAACUGCGUUCGCGCUCUCCCCUG
rnacentral:snRNA from 1 species